UAAUACGUAGGGUGCGAGCGUUAAUCGGAAUUACUGGGCGUAAAGCGUGCGCAGGUGGUUGUGUAAGUCAGAUGUGAAAUCCCCGGGCUCAACCUGGGAACUGCAUUUGAGACUGCACGGCUAGAGGAUGGCAGAGGGGGGUAGAAUUCCACGUGUAGCAGUGAAAUGCGUAGAGAUGUGGAGGAAUACCGAUGGCGAAGGCAGCCCCCUGGGCUAUUUCUGACACUCAUGCACGAAAGCGUGGGGAGCAAACAGGAUUAGAUACCCUGGUAGUCCACGCCCUAAACGAUGUCAACUAGAUGUUGGAAGGGUUAAACCUUUUAGUGUCGUAGCUAACGCGUGAAGUUGACCGCCUGGGGAGUACGGCCGCAAGGCUAAAACUCAAAUGAAUUGACGG
rnacentral:rRNA from 1 species